UUAAUUGAAGCCAAAUUUGGAGGCAUUUUAUUGUUAAUAAAAAUAUUGAAUAUUUUCCAAUUAAA
rnacentral:tRNA from 1 species